CCUACGGGAGGCAGCAGUGAGGAAUAUUGGUCAAUGGACGCAAGUCUGAACCAGCCAAGCCGCGUGCAGGAAGACGGCUCUAUGAGUUGUAAACUGCUUUUAUAAGAGGAUAAACUGAGAUACGUGUGUCUGUUUGAAAGUAUCGUACGAAUAAGGAUCGGCUAACUCCGUGCCAGCAGCCGCGGUAAUACGGAGGAUUCGAGCGUUAUCCGGAUUUAUUGGGUUUAAAGGGUGCGUAGGCGGUCGGAUAAGUUAGAGGUGAAAUUUCGAGGCCCAACCUCGGAAUUGCCAUUGAUACUGGUCGGCUAGAGAGUAGUUGCGGUAGGCGGAAUGUAUGGUGUAGCGGUGAAAUGCUUAGAGAUCAUACAGAACACCGAUUGCGAAGGCAGCUUACCAAGCUACUACUGACGUUGAGGCACGAAAGCGUGGGGAGCAAACAGGAUUAGAUACCCGGGUAGUC
rnacentral:rRNA from 1 species